AGUGGAAUAGCUGGGUCAAAUGGUGGUUCCAUUCUGAAUUUUCUGAGGAAUCUCCAUAUUGUUUUCCAUGGGUGUUUUACCAGUUUGCAGUCCCACCAGCAAU
rnacentral:pre_miRNA from 1 species